rnacentral:rRNA from 1 species
UCCCUACGGGGUGCAGCAGGCGCGAAAACUUUACAAUGCGGGAAACCGUGAUAAGGGAACUCCGAGUGCCCGUAAAAUCGGGCUGUCCAUCUGUUUAAAUAACAGGUGAAGAAAGGGCCGGGCAAGACCGGUGCCAGCCGCCGCGGUAAUACCGGCGGCUCGAGUGGUGGCCACUAUUACUGGGCUUAAAGCGUUCGUAGCUGGUUUGUUAAGUCUCUGGGGAAAUCUGCCGGCUCAACCGGCAGGCGUUCCAGGGAUACUGGCAGGCUAGGGACCGGGAGAGGUGAGGGGUACUCCAGGGGUAGGAGUGAAAUCCUGUAAUCCUUGGGGGACCACCUGUGGCGAAGGCGCCUCACCAGAACGGCUCCGACAGUGAGGGACGAAAGCUGGGGGAGCAAACCGGAUUAGAUACCCGGGUAGUCCCAGCCGUAAACGAUGCGCGUUAGGUGUAUCGGUGACCACGAGUCACCGAGGUGCCGAAGAGAAAUCGUGAAACGUGCCGCCUGGGAAGUACGGUCGCAAGGCUGAAACUUAAAGGAAUUGGCGGGGGAGCACCACAACAGGUGGAGCCUGCGGUUUAAUCGGACUCAACGCCGGAAAUCUCACCGGAUAAGACAGCUGGAUGAUAGUCGGGCUGAAGACUCUACUUGACUAGCUGAGAAGAGGUGCAUGGCCA